UUAAUUAUCCCCCUGUCUUGCAGAACAGCAAAUGCUGGGAAUAGACCAGACCCUUUGACACCCAAGUCUUGUGAACUAGGAGACAGAGCCUAGAAGAGUGAGGUCAGCUUUUCACUGUGGCCUGGUUUUCUCCUCUUCUCUGGAUAAGUGAGAUAACUCAUGGAGCUUCAUGAAUGCUCAGUAGACCUCCUACCUAUAAAUAAUGGGAGAUUUUUCAAUAUUCAGAGAAAAGAAUGAGGAGACCUGAGGGAGAACUAAACAUGGAUCUUCUGCUGUGCAUGGAAAUGAUGAUUUUCAUAAAAUAAAUAUACAUGCAAUAAAGCCCAGAGAUAUAAAUGCAGAAAUGAAUAACAAGCUCAAGACUCUAGGUUCAUCCACAUCACUACAGAUGACCCAAUUUUGUUGCUUUUAUGGCUGAGUGAUAUUCCAUCGCAAGGGCUUACCAGGUGGCACAGUGGUAAAGAAUCCACCUGCCUGGCGCAGGAGAUGCAGUUUCGACCCCUGGGUCAGGAAGAUCCCUUGGAGUAGGAAAUGGAAACCCGUGCCAGUAUUCUUGUCUGGAAAAUUCCAUGGACAGAGGAGAAUGGAAGGCUACAGUCCAUGGGGUUGCAAAGAGCUGGACAUGACUGAGUGACUCAGCAAGCCCUCAAUAUUCCAUUGUAAAUAUGGACCACAUUUUCUUUAUCCAUUCAUCUGCUGAUGGACGUGUCAUACUGCUCCCAUGUCUGGCUGUUGUAAAUAGUGCUGCGACGAACACUGGGGUACAUGUGUCUUUUUGAAUUGUGAGUAGCACUGACAUAUAUAUGCUACCAUGUGUAAAA